rnacentral:lncRNA from 1 species
CUCACUUCUUGCCUUACUUUCUUCCUGCCACUCCUGUUGUUGCUUCACACCAGCUCUCUGACAGGCCAGCUGUGACAGGAAGUUCAGCUCAGGUGUCAGCAGUGGUUCUUGAAUCCACUUCCACUGAUUCAGAUGUCAAGAAGUAGUAAGGGAACUGACCCUAACAUGGGGGAGAUCAGGUAGGGAUCCAGGCCCAUUAUUAACAUCUCCAAACUCCAAUAAGCCAUGAUGAACUCAUUUAGUCUCCUCACCCCUCUUCCCUAGUUUUGGGACCAAAGUGUUUCUGUUGUUAUUGUUUCAUUUUGUUUUUUUUUUCUCACAGAUCCAACAGCUAUCAAUCAAACAGCUAGCAUCUCACUGACAUUUUGUUGAUCUCGGGCAAUGACAGCUGCCACUGUCUUGGACACCUUCACUUGUUUGGACCAAUCACAGGAGAAGCUUCCUGCAGAUGGUUUUUCUGAUACCAACUAUGCUGUUCUCAUUGGAGGAGGAGCUUGGGAUCUGUCACUGGGAAUGGCUUCUGUUUUCUUCAGGGGAGCUCUGAUCUUCACCGUGAGCAUCCCUUCCUGGCUCCAGUGUGGAUCCCUCAGCUUGGUAGCACAAAUCCUUCAUCUCACCAGUGUAGGUUUUCUGGCUUUCAUCACUGGCCUUUGGGCCUUCCAGGUGCAGAUCCCCAAUGUGGACAAACAGACAUUGCUGUGGGCUCUAGGCCACAGUCUGGACUCAUGGAGGACAUUGCCUUGA